rnacentral:ncRNA from 2 species
CAGACGAAACAGGGGUGCUUCGUGCGCGGGCAGUCGUCGCGGCGAGGCUGAGAGAGACCCUUCGCACCCGAUCCGGGUAAUACCGGCGCGGGAAGUUUUCGGGAAGUUUUU